CCCAGUUAAGGCCUGCUGGAGGAUUUGCUUGCAAAGAGGACAGAAGACCACAGGCCUUUUGGGGAACUCAGAAUAGAGCCUGGUGUUCCUGAGGAGCCAGAAUUUGCAUGAACAGCAAGAUAUUGAUGGAUACUCAAGCUGAGAACUAAUAAGUGAUUGAGACCUUCCCUCAAGACAGGAUAUUAAGCAGCCAA
rnacentral:lncRNA from 1 species